GUCCAGGUCGCCUAACGGUAGGGUAUUGGUCUGCUUGCACCGACUGUGCGAGUUCAAUUCUCGCCCUGGACUCCA
rnacentral:tRNA from 1 species